rnacentral:rRNA from 1 species
AGUGAACGCUGGCGGUAGGCCUAACACAUGCAAGUCGAACGGCAGCACAGUAAGAGCUUGCUCUUACGGGUGGCGAGUGGCGGACGGGUGAGGAAUACAUCGGAAUCUACUUUUUCGUGGGGGAUAACGUAGGGAAACUUACGCUAAUACCGCAUACGACCUACGGGUGAAAGCAGGGGAUCUUCGGACCUUGCGCGAUUGAAUGAGCCGAUGUCGGAUUAGCUAGUUGGCGGGGUAAAGGCCCACCAAGGCGACGAUCCGUAGCUGGUCUGAGAGGAUGAUCAGCCACACUGGAACUGAGACACGGUCCAGACUCCUACGGGAGGCAGCAGUGGGGAAUAUUGGACGAUGGGCGCAAGCCUGAUCCAGCCAUACCGCGUGGGUGAAGAAGGCCUUCGGGUUGUAAAGCCCUUUUGUUGGGAAAGAAAAGCAGCAGGUUAAUACCCCGCUGUUCUGACGGUACCCAAAGAAAGCACCGGCUAACUUCGUG